ACAUUUUUAGUAUAUAAAUAUAUUUAACUUCCAAUUAAAAGAUCUUUUUUUUUUAAGAAAAUGUA
rnacentral:tRNA from 1 species